rnacentral:misc_RNA from 1 species
AAGCCAGUAUAUCCAGCCAUUGCUCCAUGGAUUGCACUAUGAGCAAGAAGAGUGCAGUAGACAUUAUCAGAUGCAUUGGCAGGAAUUGCUCGGAUCAUGUAUGUAGGAUCAAUAUAUUUAAGAGUGAUGUUCAUCUUAUUCUCUUUUGCAAAAUGGUCCUUGAUCCUGUGUGAUAUCCAUAACCCAACAUCUUGGAGCAGCUUAUUUCCUGAAGCAUCUUGCUGGUCCAUGGAUUGCAGGCUCUUUGAAAGAAGAUCCUGUCCUGCUCCCUCGGCUAUAACGAUAACCAUGUGCCCAUUCUCCUUAAGCCUUUUUUUAAUGAAUUCAAAAAGGCCACCUUUUCCUUCAAGAUAGAAGGGUGACUCUGGAAUCAAACAACAAUCCACAUCCCGGCUAGCAAGAGUAGCAUACAUUGCAAUGAAUCCACUAUAUCGGCCCAUUAGCUUCACAACACCAAUACCAUUCUCCGUACUUUCAGCCUCAACAUGUGCUGCAUUAAUUGCACGUUGAGCCUCCUCAACCGCAGUGUCAAAACCAAAGGACUUGUCAAUAACUGGAAUGUCAUUAUCAAUGGUUUUUGGAAUUCCAGCAACAGCAACUUUUAGGCCACGUCGUUGGAUUUCCUCAUAAAUGACUGCUGCUCCUUUCUGGGUUCCAUCACCUCCAAUUAUGUACACCUGAUUAAUCCCACGAUCCUGAAUGCUGUCAACUAUCUUUGAUGUAUCAUGGCCACCUCGUGAUGUCCCCAAGAUAGUACCACCGCGUUUAUGAAUGUCAUUGACAAAUUUAGGAGUCAUAGAAAUUGUAUUUUUGGAAUAGAAACCCCUGUAGCCUCCAUCAAUCCCAAGAACUUUGCUAACACCGUACAUAUGAUAAAGGCCACAAACAAUCUCCCUGAUCACUGUGUUAAGCCCAGGACACAGACCACCGCAUGUUACAAUACAUGCGUACACUUCAUCAGACUUGAAGUACACCUUCUGGCGAGGUCCAGCACGCCGAAAGUGUGUCCCUCUCGGUCCAUUCUUGUGAACAACAAUCUUUUGAGAAACAGUGUCAUCCAUAUUAACAAAGUACUGCUUGACUGCUGAAUAGGAGGGAUUGUCUUGUAAUGGAUUUGUAUAAGUAGGGAGAUCAGGAAUAUAAUCAGUCAAGUGAGGCACAUCUUCAAGCACAUAACCAGAAUCGCCAUUUGCUAACUUCAUCUGAGAAUCGCCGGAAUCCACCAUUUCGGAAACACGUCGGCCAGUCACCGGUUACUUGGAUUCUUGAACAGAGAGCCAGCUGUAAAAGAAAUGAAAC